rnacentral:rRNA from 1 species
UACGGAGGGUGCAAGCGUUAUCCGGAUUUACUGGGUUUAAAGGGUGCGUAGGUGGGUAGGUAAGUCAGUGGUGAAAUCUUCGAGCUUAACUCGGAAACUGCCAUUGAUACUAUCUGUCUUGAAUACUUUGGAGGUAAGCGGAAUAUGUCAUGUAGCGGUGAAAUGCUUAGAUAUGACAUAGAACACCAAUUGCGAAGGCAGCUGGCUACACGAAUAUUGACACUGAUGCACGAAAGCGUGGGGAUCAAACAGG